ensembl:lncRNA
UAUAUUUGAGUUGCAUAAUAUAUAUAUAUAUAUAUAUUCACAACUGAUUGCCUCUGUGUUCCCACUUACUGUCCUUUCUUCUUUGUCUCCUUUUUUGAUAUUUGGGACGGCGGUGUAUUUACGUAAGGGGAUAUCAGCUCCCGUAUUUAAAGCAAGUGUAUUACGGUCGGUGUCAUAAGAGACAGAUGAUCUGUAGCUUCUUACAGUGCUGCAUUAUUCAUAGCAAACUCUUAUUUAACAACAGGACCACAAGCAAAUAUUUCUGUAAAUAGAUAUUUUCGUGUUGAUAUUUUGUGGUACUCAUAUAACUUUUUAUUUAGAGUUCCAUGGCAUUACUUCUUCAUUUUCUUAUUUGUAAUGUAAUGUUUUUAGAUCCAAGUAGACUUGAAUUAAUGUCAUAAUUGUCAGUAUUAUUAAACUUUAUGUCGACUGUACUGUUACUCAUCGUCCCAUAGGUUUAGAACACGAUAGCUAUCUGGCAUUGUUGCAAGUGCCUUAAAUCCAUGGCAUCCUAUAACAAAAUACAAAUUUGGUGUUAUGCUGCAUGACAAAGACAAACACACCUCAAAAUGUUGUCCUUUCUUAGCUUGCUGCGUUUUACAGUUCUUUCUGCUGACAAUUUAUAAGCCUUUAUUAUAUAAUAUUGAUGAAUUACAGAAAUGAUGAAGUCGUUCUCUUAUUUCUGUUAAAUGUACCAGAGCUGUGUAUCUGUUAAUGAGAUACAGAGUCAUUUCUGUGAAAUGUAUAAAUGUAUGUGCGGGUCAAAUUAAUAUAUGACAUCCUAUCAGUCUGUACACAGGUAUUCCUGUUCCGCUAUGCCGUGCAGCUCCAGCCCAUCGUGCAGUCCAGCUCCCAUCAUCUUUUAUAAACCCACAGUCAAUAUCCCGCCCAGAAAAAAAAGAUGAGCACCUGAAUGCGACUUGCCACCGAGUCUCUGUCAUGAAACCAAAUGCCCCCACAAAAGCAAGUGCCCCCCUGGGGGACGCAGCUCCAGGCAUUAGCAGCCAAAGGGAAAUGUCAUUCGGAGUUGUCUCGUCCUGAGUCCAAUCCAUACUGUUCUGACACUGGUCCUUUAUUUUUGUGUUCUUAUUUCUCUGAUUUUCGUAUUACGAUGGAUUCUACAUAAAAGAGUUUUUUGUUUGUCAGAAAAAAAAGUCUGUCAUUCAACGGUCAUCGACCACUUGCACUCUUUUGAUGUAGAUUUGAGAACUUUUUUCAUGAACUUAACCGCUUUUGUUUUGCUCUGUAUUUUCCCUGCAGCUGUAAUUGCUGAGUGCCUGUUGUAUACUUUAUAGAGUUGAAAUAAAAAUAAUUACUUUUGAGCAGCGCGUUGACAUCUGUCUUCAGCAGGAGUCAGCUUGGGGCUGGUUCUGCUGUUCGGUUGGGUUAUUUUACCCUUCUUUGUGGUGAUCUACAGUAGGAGAUAGUUAACCAAAGUGUUGUGUGACACUGCAGAGAGCUGUGGUUGCUGUGAUCAAAAGGCAGUGGCCAUGGGCACCCCAAUGGCAGGUGGGGGUCCUGCAUCGCACGUCAUGGGCAUCUCCAGCCCACAUUACUCCAUGAUCACUCUGUGCAAUAAGCAUCUUUACUGCACGUUUGCUCUUCAGGAGUGAACAAUACACCCAGUGUUUUAUGUGCUGCCAUUAGAAUCAGGAGCAGGGCAUGCAGGGCACAGAGACCCGAUGCCAGUUGUGAUCAACACCUACCCCAGAGUGGCUCACAAGUGAGGCUGUCCCUGUCCCUGCUGUCACGUGGGAAGUGCUGGGAGAGGAGAAGGCAAAAAGCUGACACUUUGCAAGGAUACAGGGCUGGUCUCCUCCUUCUGAGCGGAAUGCACUGGGGUCACACGGCGUAAGUGUGGCAAUGGGGUGCAAUGGCUGCUAGCAGCUGCAGCAGACACCAGGUUUUGGCCCAGUGGGACAUGAUGGUGAUGGGCCUGAUCCCCCCGGGGCUUGCUCAGGCGGCACCACCACGAGCCCAGCACCGCUGGGGCUGCAUUUUCUCCCAGAACAGUCCAUUUA